UACGAAGGGGGCUAGCGUUGUUCGGAAUUACUGGGCGUAAAGCGCACGUAGGCGGAUAUUUAAGUCAGGGGUGAAAUCCCACAGCUCAACUGCGGAACUGCCUUUGAUACUGGGUAUCUUGAGUAUGGAAGAGGUAAGUGGAAUUCCGAGUGUAGAGGUGAAAUUCGUAGAUAUUCGGAGGAACACCAGUGGCGAAGGCGGCUUACUGGUCCAUUACGGACUCUGAGUUGCGAAAGCGUUGGGAGCAAACAGG
rnacentral:rRNA from 1 species